rnacentral:tmRNA from 1 species
GGGGGCGACUUGGAUUCGACCGGGCAGUUGAAGUGGGGGUUGCGUGUCGUGGUUUGUCAGCGUGCCACGUUAAAAGCCGACAAAACAACAAAUGCCAAUAAUAACAACUUGGUAAUGGCUGCCUAAGAAAAGGUGCCCGGGCGAUGAAAUCCCUGACAGACGGAGUUCAAAGUUGCGUAUUAAAAGUCUGGAUCGUUCCGGCUCACUGGAGGUACGACCGGGACUAAAUUUUGUUCCUAUCUGGUUCCCAGGCCGGCUUGUCGGUACUCUGGCAUGGGGACGAGACUUAAAGAAUCGACUACGCAUGUAGACGCUCUCAUGGAUAUGUUGCGGGACGCGGGUUCGAUACCCGCCGCCUCCAA